rnacentral:lncRNA from 1 species
AUGGGUGUGGAUUAUGAAGAAACAUUUUCCCCUACUGCUAACCUGACUAGUAUCAGAGUGUUGAUGCAAAAGGCAGCACAAGAAAACAUGCUUUUACAUCAGAUGGAUGUUAAAGCUGCCUAUCUUCACGCACCAAUAGAUUGUGAGGUAUUCAUGGAACAACCUGAGGGCUAUGAGGUAAAAUCCGACACAAAUGAAAAAUUGGUGUGCAAGUUGAAAAAGUCGCUAUAUGGGCUAAAACAAUCAGGCCGAAAUUGGAACAAGUUGCUGCAUGAAUAUCUGAGUGAGAACAACUUUGUGCAAAAUCCCGCUGACCAUUGUGUUUACACAAAGAUGACAGAAAAUAAGAAGGUGAUUCUGAUUAUAAGGGUAGAUGACCUGAUCAUUGCUGCUAGUGAUGAAAGUGAACUAACUGUUGUGAAGAAAAUGCUUGCAGCAAAAUUCAAAAUGAAGGAUUUGGGUAAACUGAGACAUUUCAUUGGUAUAGAUUUUGACCAGAGUGAUAACUGUGUAAAAAUGUCACAAAAACAAUAUGUGGAAAAAAUACUUGAAAGGUUCGACAUGCAGGAUUGUAAAGAAAGACUGACACCUUGUGAGCAAAAACUGAACUAUGCUGAUGAUGCAGAAAAGAUGAGUGAUGUCAAAAGGUACAGAGAAGCAGUUGGUAGUCUGAUCUAUUUGGCUACAUGCACAAGACCAGACUUGAGUUUUAUAGUCAGUAAACUUUCACAGUAUUUUACUGAGCCAACUGAAGACCAAUGGACUACAGUAAAACAUGUACUGAGGUAUCUGAAAGGGACAACCGAGAAAGAACUGUGUUACAGGAAAUGUGACAACAAAGAACUGAGGUUGUGGGCAUACAGCGAUGCUGAUUGGGCUGCUGAUGUAACAGACAGACGGAGUACAACUGGUUAUUGCAUAAGCUUGUCUGUAGAUGGUCCUUUAAUCUCAUGGAAAAUAGUGCUGGGCGAUAUGACGAUAUAUAUCGUGUGGACGAUAGAAAAAUGUCUAUCAUGCCAUUUGUCUUCUAUCGUUUAUAUCAUACUAACCCAAAUUUUAUAA